rnacentral:pre_miRNA from 1 species
AUCACCUGGGAAUUUUGCUAAAAUGCAGAAUCUAAUGAUUCGGUAGACCUGGGGUUGGCCUGAGAUUCUGCAUUUCUAACAGGCUCUCAGGUGAUGAUGU